rnacentral:rRNA from 1 species
UGCGUAGGCGGAAUGAUAAGUCAGUGGUGAAAUCCUACAGCUUAACUGUAGAAUUGCCAUUGAUACUGUUAUCCUUGAGUACAGUUGAAGUGGGUGGAAUUUGUUAUGUAGCGGUGAAAUGCAUAGAUAUAACAAAGAACACCAAUUGCGAAGGCAGCUCACUAAACUGUAACUGACGCUGAGGCACGAAAGCGUGGGUAGCGAACAGGAUUAGAUACCCUGGUAGUCC